CUUUGUGUCUUUCAUAAUACAGCACAGAGGAGCUCAGAGGAUGGUGUAAUUCUUCUGCUUUUCAAGAUAAUUUUAUCCAUUUGAGUACCUGGACUUGAAACCAGCCCAGUUCAAACCAAAAGAGCUAUAAAGAUCUCUUGCUCUAAUUGUUGAAACAGGAUACCAAGCCCAUCUCUGCUUGUAACUGAUGGCAUGAUCUUGGUUGAAGCAGUCUCGGUGUGGAUGAAGUUUUGUUUCUGAGAGAGCUAUUUCACAUCUUUUCCUCAUCUCUGGAAGUGACUUUGAAACUGAAAUGUCAGAGCUUGGUUUUCAACUGGCAGUGCCUGGCUUCUCCAACAAGUGCUUCCAAUACCUUCACAAACUGCUGUAUUGUCUGAUGGACUGCUGCAUCUUCAAAG